rnacentral:misc_RNA from 1 species
GGAAAUGUCUCGGUCAUGGGACAUUGUUGGUGUUGACUUAAUUAGUGGUGUUUCAUGCAAAUCACCUUAUGAAUGGGUGGAUAGAACAGAUUUGGAAUGGGAGUUCAAAUCUGGAGGGUACAGUUCAGAGACCUUUCAUGUUGUGGCAUAUGAUUUUGGAAUCAAGAGUAACAUACUUAGGCGCUUGGCGUCUUAUGGAUGCAAAAUUACUGUUGUCCCUUCUACAUGGGCUGCAUCAGAGACCUUAAAG